GACGAACGCUGGCGGCGUGCUUAACACAUGCAAGUCGAACGGAAAGGCCCUGCUUUUGUGGGGUGCACGAGUGGCGAACGGGUGAGUAACACGUGAGUAACCUGCCCUUGACUUUGGGAUAACUUCAGGAAACUGGGGCUAAUACCGGAUAGGAGCUCCUGCAGCAUGGUGGGGAUUGGAAAGUUUCGGUGGUUGGGGAUGGACUCGCGGCUUAUCAGCUUGUUGGUGGGGUAGUGGCUUACCAAGGCUUUGACGGGUAGCCGGCCUUAGAGGGUGACCGGCCACAUUGGGACUGGGAUACGGACCAGACUCCUACGGGAGGCAGCGGUGGGGAAUAUUACACAAUGGGCGGAAGCGUGAUGCAGCAACGCCGCGUGCGGGAUAACGGCCUUCGGGUUGUAAACCACUUUCGCCUGUGACAAAGAGUGAGUGACGGUAAUGGGUCAAGAAGCCCCGGCUAACUACGUG
rnacentral:rRNA from 1 species